UACGAAGGGGGGCUAGCGUUGUUCGGAAUUACUGGGCGUAAAGCGCGCGCAGGCGGUCUUCCAAGUCAGUGGUGAAAGCCCGGAGCUCAACUCCGGAAUUGCCAUUGAAACUGUGAGACUGGAGUACGAGAGAGGUGAGUGGAAUUCCCAGUGUAGAAGUGAAAUUCGUAGAUAUUGGGAAGAACACCGGUGGCGAAGGCGGCUCACUGGCUCGUAACUGACGCUCAGGCGCGACAGCGUGGGGGAUCAAAACAGG
rnacentral:rRNA from 1 species